CGUCUCUGGGCACCCAGGCUUCUUCUCUCGAUCGAUCGUCAACACCAACGGCCAGCGCCUCCGCUGAGCUCCAUCAUCACCGCUCCACCGCUGGGUCAUCACCACCCAACUUCCUCCGCUCCGCUAGGCAUCGCCACCAAGCUCUACUGCUACCGCCAGUAGGCCAUCCUCCACCGGAAACGGAUCGCUAGCCAACCUCCGACGGAAAAUCUUCCGCCACACUGUACACCGCCAAUCUUUGGUGCACCAUCUGCAGAGCAGUCCACCGGCCAUCUCCCGCUAGCAAAUCACAGCGGCAAAACUUCGGCGGCGAACUUCGCCGGCCAAACUCGAUUACCGCUGACCAGAGCUCCGUCAACGAGCUCCGCUAGCUGAGCUCUGCCGCGCACCACCGCUAGCUCCAGCAGAGAUUACCGCUCACACCAUCACUGGUCACACUGCUAGCGGACGUACCACCAGCAAUCAACCGCUGGGCAAAGCCCCGUUCCCGCUGACAAGACCUCUCCGUUGAGCGUCAAAACCUCCGCUGGUAUCAAAGCUCAGCUGGCCAACAGUUCCGCCGUCCAAGAUCCUCUGGUGUCACAAAGCUCCACUCCGCUGACCAUGAUCAUUUAGCCAACCUCCGCUAGGCACCUCCGCCGGACAACCCACUAGCUCCAUCAACGACCUCCGCCGAACUCAAAACCUCCGCUGAGCUCC
rnacentral:lncRNA from 1 species